AACGAACGCUGGCGGCAUGCCUAACACAUGCAAGUCGAACGAGACCUUCGGGUCUAGUGGCGCACGGGUGCGUAACGCGUGGGAACCUGCCCUUAGGUUCGGAAUAACUCCCCGAAAGGGGUGCUAAUACCGGAUAAUGUCUUCGGACCAAAGAUUUAUCGCCUUUGGAUGGGCCCGCGUUGGAUUAGCUAGUUGGUAGGGUAAAAGCCUACCAAGGCGACGAUCCAUAGCUGGGCUGAGAGGAUGAUCAGCCACACUGGGACUGAGACACGGCCCAGACUCCUACGGGAGGCAGCAGUGGGGAAUAUUGGACAAUGGGCGAAAGCCUGAUCCAGCAAUGCCGCGUGAGUGAUGAAGGCCUUAGGGUUGUAAAGCUCUUUUACCCGUGAUGAUAAUGACAGUACCGGGAGAAUAAGCUCCGGCUAACUCCGUG
rnacentral:rRNA from 1 species